UGGGGAAUAUUGCACAAUGGGGGGAACCCUGAUGCAGCCAUGCCGCGUGAACGAAGAAGGCCUUCGGGUUGUAAAGUUCUUUCGGUGACGAGGAAGGUUGGUAGGUUAAUAGCCUAUCAAAUUGACGUUAAUCACAGAAGAAGCACCGGCUAACUCCGUGCCAGCAGCCGCGGUAAUACGGGGGGUGCGAGCGUUAAUCGGAAUAACUGGGCGUAAAGGGCACGCAGGCGGUGACUUAAGUGAGAUGUGAAAGCCCCGAGCUUAACUUGGGAAUUGCAUUUCAUACUGGGUCGCUAGAGUACUUUAGGGAGGGGUAGAAUUCCACGUGUAGCGGUGAAAUGCGUAGAGAUGUGGAGGAAUACCGAAGGCGAAGGCAGCCCCUUGGGAAUGUACUGACGCUCAUGUGCGAAAGCGUGGGGAGCAAACAGGAUUAGAUACCCUGGUAGUCCACGCUGUAAACGAUGUCGAUUUGGGGAUUGGGCUUUGAGCUUGGUGCCCGUAGCUAACGUGAUAAAUCGACCGCCUGGGGAGUACGGCCGCAAGGUUA
rnacentral:rRNA from 1 species